AACGAACGCUGGCGGCAUGCCUAACACAUGCAAGUCGAACGAUGCCUUCGGGCGUAGUGGCGCACGGGUGCGUAACGCGUGGGAAUCUGCCUUUCGGUUCGGAAUACCUCAGGGAAACUUGAGCUAAUACCGGAUAACGUCGCAAGACCAAAGAUUUAUCACCGAAAGAUGAGCCCGCGUAGGAUUAGCUAGUUGGUGAGGUAAAGGCUCACCAAGGCGACGAUCCUUAGCUGGUCUGAGAGGAUGAUCAGCCACACUGGGACUGAGACACGGCCCAGACUCCUACGGGAGGCAGCAGUGGGGAAUACUGGACAAUGGGCGAAAGCCUGAUCCAGCAAUGCCGCGUGAGUGAUGAAGGCCUUAGGGUUGUAAAGCUCUUUUACCCGGGAAGAUAAUGACGGUACCGGGAGAAUAAGCCCCGGCUAACUCCGUG
rnacentral:rRNA from 1 species